UAAGGAUGAAAUUGCAGGAGCUGCGGUUUUAUAAGAAGCCAAACAUUGUGUGCAUUCAGAAAAAGAUAUUUUUCUAAGGAGAUCUACACCUCAGAGCACUUCCUCCCACUGGGCAGUGGACCACUCGAGCAGCGGUUCUGAACACCUGAUCCCCAGACUCAUCGCAGCAGCAGCAUCUAGGAACAGGUUUUUGUGGAGAGACUGAGAAAAUCACUUCCUGGAGAAAUGAAGGCUGAAAGCCCUGGCAAAAAAGGAGAUGGUUCUCUAGAGACAGGCAGGAAAAAAGUUUCAGGAGGAGACAUGUCAGGUGCUGAUGCGAGAAGCAAAGGUACCAAUGUUGAUGGCACCUUCUUCCAGAUCGUAAAGGGCUUCUCCUUGGGUUCAAGCUUUCUGCAAAUGGCAGCAGCUGGGCAGGCUGCUAAGCAUAGAGGAGAGUUGCCCUCACCUGAUCCUGAGAACCAAGACUAAGUAACGCAUCCUGGAAAGGCCCAGGCCAAACAGAGGCCCUGUGGCGAGUUGCUCCAAGGGAAACCCAGGAACGGAGAAGGAAGGAGGAAGUUUGGGAAGCAGAC
ensembl:lncRNA LINC01805 long intergenic non-protein coding RNA 1805